rnacentral:rRNA from 1 species
CGCGUAGGCGGGAACAUAAGUCAGAUGUGAAAUCCUGGAGCUCAACUCCAGAACAGCAUUUGAAACUAUAUUUCUUGAGGGUAGGCGGAGAAAACGGAAUUCCACAUGUAGCGGUGAAAUGCGUAGAUAUGUGGAAGAACAUCGGUGACGAAGGCGGUUUUCUAGCUUAUUCCUGACGCUGAGGCGCGAAAGCAAGGGAGCAAACA